rnacentral:rRNA from 1 species
GACGUAGGGUCCAAGCGUUGUCCGGAUUUACUGGGCGUAAAGAGCGCGUAGGCGGUCCGUUAAGUGUAGAGUGAAAGCUCCGGGCUCAACUCGGAAAUUGCUCUGCAUACUGGCGGACUCGAGGACGGAAGAGGUUUGUGGAAUUCCUGGUGUAGCGGUGAAAUGCGUAGAUAUCAGGAGGAACACCCAUGGCGAAGGCAACAAACUGGUCCGUAUCUGACGCUGAGGCGCGAAAGCGUGGGUAGCAAACAGG